rnacentral:rRNA from 1 species
ACAUAGGGGUCAAGCGUUGUCCGGAUUUACUGGGCGUAAAGGGCUCGUAGGCGGCGAGACAAGUCAGAAUUUAAAGGCAAGAGCUCAACUCUUGUUCGGUUCUGAAACUAUCUUGCUUGAGAUUGGGAGAGGAAGACGGAAUUAACAGUGUAGCGGUGAAAGGCGUAGAUAUGGGGAAGAGGACCCGUGGCGAAGGCGGCAAACUGGCCCAAAUCCGAUGGUGAGGAGCGAAAGCGUGGGGAGCAAACAG